GAUGAACGCUAGCGGCAGGCUUAACACAUGCAAGUCGAGGGGUGGUAGCAAUACUACACCGGCGCACGGGUGCGUAACGCGUAUGCAAUCUACCUUUAUCUGGGGGAUAGCCCGGGGAAACCCGGAUUAAUACCGCAUAACAAACUGAUUGGCAUCAAUUGGUUUUAAAAGAUUUAUCGGAUAGAGAUGAGCAUGCGUAA
rnacentral:rRNA from 1 species